rnacentral:rRNA from 1 species
ACUCCUACGGGAGGCAGCAGUGGGGAAUAUUGCACAAUGGGGAAACCCUGAUGCAGCCAUGCCGCGUGUAAUGAAGAAGGCCUUCGGUUAUAAAGUACUUUCAGUAGUGAGGAAGGCGGGUGUGUUAAUAGCGCAUUCGUUUGACGUUAGCUGCAGAAGAAGCACCGGCUAACUCCGUGCCAGCAGCCGCGGUAAUACGGAGGGUGCGAGCGUUAAUCGGAAUUACUGGCGUAAAGCGCAUGCAGGUGGUUUGUUAAGUCAGAUGUGAAAGCCCGGGGGCUCAACCUCGGAAUUGCAUUUGAACUGGCAGACUAGAGUACUGUAGAGGGGGUUAGAAUUUCAGGUGUAGCGGUGAAAUGCGUAGAGAUCUGAAGGAAUACCGGUGGCGAAGGCGGCCCCCUGGACAGAUACUGACACUCAGAUGCGAAAGCUGGGGAGC